rnacentral:rRNA from 1 species
GAUGAACGUUGGCGGCGUGCCUGAGAUAUGCAAGUUGAGCGUCUCCUCCAAUUCGGAGGGGUAGCGGCGGACGGCUGAGUAACACGUAGGGACCUACCCCCGCCUCAAGCAUAGCCAGCCGAAAGGUUGGGUAAUUCUUGAUGGCUCCCGAUUUUGAAUCGGGAUAAAGAAGGUAACUCUUCGGGCGGGGACGGACCUGCGGCCUAUCAGGUUGUUGGUAGGGUAACGGCCUACCAAGCCAAUGACGGGUAGCUGGCCUAAGAGGGUGGUCAGCCAGAGGGGCACUGAGACACGGGCCCCACUCCUACGGGAGGCAGCAAUCAGGAAUAGUCGGCAAUGGGCGAAAGCCUGACCGCGCGACGCCGCGUGCGGGAAGAAGCUCGAAAGAGUGUAAACCGCUGUGGUAGGGGAUGAAGUCCCGCAUUUUGCGGGAUUGACAGUACCCUGCUAGAAAGGGGCCGCUAACUGCGUGCCAGAAGCGUCGGUAAUACGUGGGCCCCAAACGUUAUCCGGUAUUACUGGGUGUAAAAGGUCGUGUAGGCGUCUUCCUAAGUUUUCGCUUAAAUCUCAUGGCUCAACCAUGAAAGUGGCGAAAAAACUGGGAAGAUAGAAUCUUCUCAAGGGAGACUGGAACUUAAGGAGGAGUAGUGAAAUGCGUUGAUACCUUAGGGAACACCAGUGGCGAAGGCGAGUCUCUGGGAGAAGAUUGACGCUGAGACACGAAAGCUAGGGGAGCGAAGCAGAUUAGAGACCUGCGUAGUCCUAGCCGUAAACGCGUGCUUGCUAGCUGCAUUUUCCUGCCUUAUGGCGGGAAGGUGUGGCGAAGGUAACCCGUUAAGCAAGCUACCUGGGGAGUACGACCGCAAGGUUAAAACUCAAAGGAAUUGGCGGGGAGGCACACAACCAGUGGAACAUGUGGUUCAAUUCGAAACGAACCGAAGAACCUCACCAGGACUUGACAUCUCAGCGUUCAGUCCCGAAGAAAUUCGGGAUGUCCGCAAGGAGGCUGGGACAGGUGCUGCAUGGCUGUCGUCAGCUCGUUCCGUGAGGAGUGCCCUUAAGUGGGACAACGAGCGCAACCCCCAUCCGCAGUUACAAGUGUCUGCGGAAACUGCCCUGCCUUUGGCGGGGAGGAAGGAGGGGCAGACGUCAAGUCAGCAUGGUCCUUAUGUCCUGGGCUACACACAUGUUACAAUGGGUAGGACAAUGGGUUGCAAGCUGGCAACAGCAAGCCAAUCCCGUAAACCUACCCUCAGUGGGGAUUGAGGUCUGCAACUCGACCUCAUGAACGCGGAAUUGGUAGUAAUCGCGGAUCAGCCAUGCCGCGGUGAAUACGUUCUUGCCUCUUGCACACACCGCCCGUCAAGCCAACAAAGUCGGGGUAAUCUGAA